ACUCAAAUGAAUUGACGGGGACCCGCACAAGCAGUGGAGUGCCUGGUUUAAUUCGAUGACCAACGAAGAACCUCACCUAGGCUUGAACUAUGGCUGCAAAUCCUAUGAAAAUAGGACUCUUUCGAAGGUGCCACAGAGGUGAUGCAUGGCUGUCGUCAGCUCGUGUCGUGAGAUGUCGGGUUAAGUCCCACAACGAGCGCAACCCCUGUCCGAUGUUAAAAUUACUUCGGAUACUGCCCUGCCAAAACGGGGAGGAAGGAGGGGAUGACGUCCAGUCAUCAUGUCCCUUAUGUCUAGGGCUACACAGACACUACAAUGGCUACUACAAUGGGUUGCCAAGCGGCGACGCGGAGCUAAUCCCAUCAAAAGUAGUCUCAGUUCAGAUUGCAGGCUGCAACUCGCCUGUAUGAAGUCGGAAUUGCUAGUAAUCGGACAUCAGCAUGGUCCGGUGAAUACGUUCUCGGGUCUUGUACACACCGCCCGU
rnacentral:rRNA from 1 species